UUCCAGCCUCUAAAAAGAAAAACAUUUCAGUUGGGGUGACGGGUAUUUUCCCUUUCUGCCUAUCCACUCUAUCUGGCUCAGGGAAAGGACUAGAAAGGACACCUGCCUGUCACAGUCACAGAAAUUCAGCCCAAAGGGUUGAACCCACAGCAGCACACUUCCCCACUUGCCAGCCAGCCUUGACUCGAAGAUCUAGGACUGCUCACAGCUCAGAAACUUGUCAACAAUACGACAUCCGGGAGAGGGGAGGGAAGAUGAGGAGGAGACAAUAUGGAUCCUAUAACUUUGGAACACUUAGGCUGUCUUGAAGAACUCUGGAAUGAGACUCACAUUUGUCUUCUGCCUAAACAAGUUGAUGUUCCCAAAUCACUCUGCAAAUUGAGAGGGGAACAAUGGCCCCUCCGAACUACCAAACCCAAGAUGUUGGCUGCUCUCCACUGCUAUCAGGCUCCCUGCUCCAUGGCAAACGGCACAGCACAUCAAGGAGUUUGUCUAAAAAGUCGGGGAAGCCACAGUGACGAGGAGAGGCAGCUCAUAUCCUCUUCGAGAAGCAAAUGAAGGAUCUGUUUGAGUUACUCUUAUUCUAUAGGCUCAAAGGCUGCGGCAGACAUCAGUUCAAAAUAAAUAAAUAAACCUUAACAAAGAAACAUCAUUUUAUGGAGGAUGCUGUAGCUGCAGCCCAAACAACCUGGUUCAAACCCUCAGUCUCUCUUAGACUAGCCACACAGCACUGGGCAAGUCCAUGACUCAGCCUUACCUUCUGUCUCACAAUCAAUACUAAGUAUCUACUUCCAAGGCCCAAGAGUGGUGAGGGAUAGGGAAGGGGGAUUAAGGGUCACACAACCAGAAAGCAUCUGAGGUCAAAUUUGAACCCAGGACCUCCUGACUUCAGGCCUGGCACUCUGUCCACUGAGCCACCCAGCACAGACUUGUGACCUUUCAUUCAAGCUCCAGCCCUUGGCACAGUGCCUGGCAUGCAGAAAGCACUUAAUGCUUGCUGAUUGUUCCCUGAUUGUCCUCAUGACAACAGCAAUGUUUCUAUCAGAGCCUGUGUUACACUCUCUGUGGCAUUUAAGCUCCACACUGUAAACUUUAAAAACUACUCCACCCUACUUAGACCAUUCUUUAGGGGAAGAUAAAGUUGUGAUCUCCUGAUUGAACAAUGAAAGUACUUAGUUCUCACCUUAUAGUGAAGCUAGAACUUUAAGCUAAGUCUAUUUUUAGAUCUAAUACAAAAAGGUGUUAAGUAACUAUAAAGGUUAAAUUAAUCACAAAAAGGUCAAGUAACUCACAAAAGGUGAACUUAACAAAGAAGUGUUAAGUAACUCUAAAGAUAUAAUCAAAUCAAAGAAGGUGAGAACUAAAAGUAUGGGCAGUUCUGGAGAAAAAGCUUUUAAUGUGAUUGGUAGAUGUGAAAAUUUAGAGGAGGAGACACAAGGAUGAAAGGUAUGUAUAUUUGAAAUUUUUCGUCCUUCAAGGGGACUCACUCUCUCUCUCUCUUUCCCUGAUUGGCGGUGGAGAGUUAGCUGAGAGUUGUGUGCUGAGCCUUUCGGCAUCUUAGCAUGGCUACAAGCUAUUGUCCAGUUUGGUGUUCUACUCUGAGCUCUACUUUAAGUCUCCCCAGAAGCUAAGCCUGGUGCCCAGCUGCCAACAAGUACUCCAUAAAUACUACUUCUGCCUAGAAACGAUAACGGAGGAGUUUUCAUACUUGUACAUGAAGUUGCAGGGGCUGGUUGGGGGUCGAAGAGUCCCCUGAGCCUGGCUGUGGUCCGCUCGGAAUAGAGGAUUCAGGUAGUCAGCCCGAUUCUUCCACAGAGGAAGGUCCCGAACUGGCAGGAGUAGAUGUGAUGUUGAAUGUGCACCAGAAACCUUUCAUUGAACUCAAAGGCGCAGGGGAACUGCUCCAUGAGCUGCCACACGCACUCAAGGAACUGGUCAAUGACUGGAGA